UACAGAGGUCCCAAGCGUUGUUCGGAUUCAUUGGGCGUAAAGGGUGCGUAGGCGGCGCGGGAAGUCGGGUGUGAAAUCUCGGAGCUUAACUCCGAAACUGCAUUCGAUACUGCCGUGCUUGAGGACUGGAGAGGAGACUGGAAUUUACGGUGUAGCGGUGAAAUGCGCAGAUAUCAGGAGGAACACCGAUGGCGAAGGCAGGUCUCUGGGCCUGACUACUGACGCUGAGAAGCGAAAGACAUGGGGAGCGAACAGG
rnacentral:rRNA from 1 species